GAGAUUUGUCGGCUUUGCUGCUGAUCUUUCACUUUCUUGCUAUUUUGGUGGAUCUCUCUCUAAUCUGAUUUGCUUUACUGGAUCGAACGAUCUGGGGUUCGAUUGAUUGAUUUAGUUUUUUUCUUCCCGUGGUGGUGAUGGUAAUAGCUGCCGGAUCUUGAGGUACUCUUUUUGGAAAUAUUGCUGAAUUUUCUCUAUUCAAAUUGAUCAAAUGAAAUUGUUGAAAGAUUUUGAUUUGUGGGUUUUUCAGUAGGAUGGGCUAGCUUUGACUAGGGCUUUACUUUUAUCAAAAUGCUUGUAAUUGCUCUUCUUGAAUUCUCCUUCUAACUGAACAAUGAGCUAAAUCUAUUCUUUUUUCUUUUAAUUCAUAAUUUCUGCUUUUAUUUUCUUGGUGAUUGAAACAGAUUUGAUCUGUAAUUUGGGUAGCUCUAAAAAAAGCAGAUCCUCAGCUUUUGUUCAGUGUCUUCUGUAAGUUGGGCAUGUUGGUCGGCAACCUAUCUGGCUGAGGCUGUUAUCUGAUUGCAAUUCGAUUCAAGUAGAGUAAUAAUGGAUCCAGAAGCUGAUGUUAAGGUUUGUUCUUUAUUAAAAUAAAUAAAGACUCUACCUUUACUUUGGUUUUGCACUUUUGUAUUCGGAUUGAUAUGAUAAUAUCACUUCUUGUCAUUUUCCAAUUUGGGUUUGGUAUUUUGGUCAGUUAAUUUGUCUGUGGUGUUCCAUUACCCUGCGCUCUCUUUCACCAUCAGGUUGAAAUGUUUGUUGUAAUUUGUCAAGAACGAAACUUAAAUUUUGUAGUAUUUUUCCAAUUGACAUUCAGAAGGUAUUAGAAUGUGUAGAUCUUUGAUUUGAAGCUUAAUUUGGCGUUGUUCUACAAAUGAUGAGUAGAAGUAGUUUGUCUGAUCUUGUAUAAUAUUCGGUGAAGCUUGAAUGAUAAUUUUAGCAAGCUUAUAUAAAAACUAGGAAUUCCCUGAUUGUGCUGAUUUGUUUGCACAGGGGAAGUCCUUGAAGACCUUAGGUGGUCAAGUCUGUCAGAUCUGUGGCGAUGGUGUUGGCACUACUGUAGGGGGCGAUCCAUUUGUUGCUUGCGAUGUCUGUGCCUUCCCUGUUUGUAGGCCAUGCUAUGAAUACGAGAGGAAGGACGGGAAUCAAUCUUGCCCUCAGUGCAAGACCAGAUACAAGAGACAUAAAGGUAUGGAUGAUUCUGAUUUGAGCAAUUAAUGAGAGGAAGGAUGGGAAUCAAUCUUGCCCUCAGUGCAAGACCAGAUACAAGAGACAUAAAGGUAUGGAUGACUGAUUUGAGCAAUUAAGUUGAAUAGCUAAUAUGUCAGUCAAGAUUUGUUGGCCAAGAGAAGUAAGAACUUAAGUUUUUGAUUCUGGCGCAUGAUUGUAUAUGCUGAUUGGCA
rnacentral:lncRNA from 1 species